UAGACAAGAAGUAGAGAUCAUGGAUCUGCCU
rnacentral:piRNA from 1 species